AAACCCUAAUAAUUAAUACUAUUAAUCAAAUUAAUAAGUUUACCAACAACAAGAAAACCAACCAACCUGCACGGCGGGUUUUUCAUUUCUUUUCUUUGUAAUUGUAGAUACUCUCUGCAAAGCUUAUCGUCUGCAUAGACGCUUGCCCUUCCAAACUUCUGCCAUUUCCGCAUUCUUCAGUCACUUCGCUGCGUACUCUUCAUGUUUUCUUGGGGGUACUUUCCGUGUUAAGGAGCAGAUUAGUUUGCUGUACUCUGAAUAAGAGGAAGAAGGGAUGAAUUUUACAGGGACAGCAAACUCAAAGCUAGACAUAUUUCUACCCAAAUCCCUGUCUGUUUUCCCUCAUUCUAAAACUGCAUUCCUUCAAAGUGAGAAAUUAUUAUUAGCCUGGAAGUUUUCUGUUACGAGUUUGCGAUCCCGGGGGCAUGCGCGUGGACCCUGGAUUGAUGUUAGAAGGCUUCGUAUUAAGUGUUGCAAAGAUUCUUCAAGUUCGAGCAUCAACCCUGUGGAGGGGGAGGGGGAUAAUGAAUCGUCUCAGAAGCUGUUUGAGAAUUUGAAGGAAGCUGAGAGAGAACGAAUGAAUAAAUUGGAAGAGUUUGAGAGGAAGGCAAAUACCCAAUUGGAGAGGCAGCUUAUGAUGGCUUCAGAGUGGAGCAGAGCACUUUUGACCAUGAGAGGAAAAUUAAAAGGAACUGAGUGGGACCCUGAGAAUUCUCAUCCCAUAGAUUAUAGUGACUUAAAGAGACUUCUUGAAUCAAACAAUGUUCAGUUCAUGGAAUACGCCAAUUAUGGGCAGACGGUUUCAGUGAUUCUACCUUAUUACAAAGAAGGGAUGAAAGAAAAAGGCAAUAAAGAGAAAAUUGUUUUCCGACGUCAUGUGGUUGAGCGUAUGCCUAUUGACUGUUGGAAUGAUGUUUGGCGAAAGUUGCAUAACCAGCUUGUAAAUGUUGAUGUCCUCAAUGCGAAUACCCUUCAUGCAGAAAUAUAUUCAAGUGUUUCCACUGCUGUUGUGUGGUCUAUGAGGCUUGCUCUUUCUGUUGCUCUAUAUGUUUGGAUUGAUAAUAUGAUGAGGCCGAUAUACUCAAAAUUGAUACCCUGUGAUCUUGGUACUCCUCCUAAGAAGCCAACAUUGCAGCCACUUGAGCCCCAGGCUCCCCUUGGUUCAUUAGGGAAGAGUCGGGCAAAGUUCAUAUCAGCUGAGGAAAAAACAGGCAUUACCUUUGAUGACUUUGCUGGUCAAGAAUAUAUCAAGAGAGAGCUGCAAGAAAUUGUACGGAUUCUAAAAAAUGAUGAAGAGUUUCAAAACAAGGGUAUCUAUUGCCCAAAAGGUGUGCUCCUUCACGGUCCUCCUGGGACUGGUAAAACACUUCUUGCAAAAGCUAUAGCUGGUGAGGCAGGUCUUCCAUUUUUUGCAGCCAAUGGUACUGAUUUUGUUGAGAUGUUUGUUGGUGUUGCUGCUGCCCGUGUGAAGGAUCUUUUUUCCAGUGCCAGAUCAUUUGCACCGUCUAUAAUUUUCAUUGAUGAGAUAGAUGCCAUUGGUAGUAAACGUGGUGGACCUGAUAUUGGUGGGGGUGGCGCAGAGAGGGAACAAGGUCUACUUCAAAUACUGACAGAAAUGGAUGGUUUUAAAGUGUCGACAUCACAGGUUUUGGUCAUUGGUGCAACAAAUAGACUGGAUAUUCUUGAUCCUGCUCUUUUACGAAAGGGCCGCUUUGACAAGAUUAUUCGAGUUGGAUUACCAUCAAAAGAUGGAAGAUUUGCCAUAUUGAAGGUGCAUGCUAAAAAUAAAUAUUUCCGGUCAGAGGAAGAAAAGGAGAUUCUACUCCAGGAAAUUGCAGAGCUUACAGAUGAUUUUACUGGAGCAGAAUUGCAAAAUAUACUGAAUGAGGCUGGAAUUUUAACAGCUAGAAAGGACUUAGACUACAUAGGGCGUGAAAAACUUCUUGAAGCCUUGAAGCGGCAAAAAGGCACUUUUGAAACAGGUCAAGAAGAUUCCACUGAAGUCCCUGAAGGGUUGAAACUAAGAUUGGCAUAUCGUGAGGCUGCUGUUGCAGUUCUCGCAUGUUACAUACCAGACCCCUACCGUUCCUUCUCAGAUACAAAUAUUAAUUCUAUUCGAAGUCAGCCUAAUAUGCGGUAUCAGGAGGUAUCAGGGAGGUUAUUUAAGCGCAAGGCAGAUUAUGUGGACUCUAUAGUGCACGCAUGUGCUCCCAGAGUAAUUGAAGAAGAGAUUUUUGGAGUUGACAAUCUUUGUUGGAUUUCUGCAAAAUCUACAUUGGAGGCUUCCAAACUCUCUGAAUUCUUGAUUUUGCGGACGGGAAUGACUGCGUUUGGCAAAGCCUAUUACAGAUACCAGAAUGACCUUGUGCCUAAUCUUGCCUCUAAACUGGAAGCACUCAGAGAAGAAUACUUACGCUUUGCUGUCGAGAAAUGCACAUCUAUAUUGAGAGAAUGUGGUCCUGCAGUGGAGAGCAUUACAGAUGUCCUACUUGAAAAGGGAGAGAUAAAAGCUGAUGAAAUUUGGAAAAUUUUCAACAGUUCACCUCGAAUACCACAGCCUGCUGUCAGGCCAGUGGAUGAGUAUGGUGCCCUUAUUUAUGCUGGACGUUGGGGACUCCAUGGUGUUUCACUUCCAGGGAGGGUGACUUUUGCACCUGGAAAUGUUGGAUUCUCCACGUUCGGUGCCCCUCGUCCGAUGGAGACUCAAAUCGUAAGUGAUGACACAUGGAAACUGAUUGAUGGAAUAUGGGAUAAGAGGGUUGAGGAAAUCAAAGAAGAGGCAUCCAUGGAAAUUGAAGAAGAAAAGGAAAAACCACUACUUCUGUUGGGAAGCCAUUUCCUAUAACAUCAUCUAGUUCACCUUAGUAGAUAGCUUGUUCAUCAUAACUCAGACCAUCACAUUGUUGAGUGAAGGAAACUUACAGCGGCUUCGGCUAUCCAAAUUUCAUGUGAAGGCCGGACGAGUUUCUGAAUCCUCCUAUUUAAGUAUCAAAAACAGAGCAAACUAAAAUCAAUUUACUGGACACUUGCGAAUUGGUUGGCAAGCUGCAUGUUGAAAUGGGAAUAUGCCAUGGUGAUGCCCUUUCUUGUUUUUUUAUAUUCGAGUCUUUUGAGUCAGAAAAAUAGUAGUCUAUACAUGUGAUGUAAACAAUAAUCUUAUAGAGUAGUAUCUUAGUGAGGUCCUCUGAUUUUCCAAAUCAUUUGAUAUAUCAAAAAAUAUUCCUGAAUCUUGGAAGCAUCCCCAAUUUGAAAACAUUGGGAGGGAAAUGUUAAAAAGUGUUAUUUGUA